GUUGGGUAGGGGAGCGUUCUGUAAGCCUGCGAAGGUGUACUGUGAGGUAUGCUGGAGGUAUCAGAAGUGCGAAUGCUGACAUAAGUAACGAUAAUGCGGGUGAAAAACCCGCACGCCGGAAGACCAAGGGUUCCUGUCCAACGUUAAUCGGGGCAGGGUGAGUCGACCCCUAAGGCGAGGCUGAAAAGCGUAGUCGAUGGGAAACGGGUUAAUAUUCCCGUACUGGUGGUAACUGCGAUGGGGGAACGGAGAAGGCUAGGUUGUCCGGGCGACGGUCGUCCCGGUUCAAGCAGGUAGGCAGAGUGAUUAGGCAAAUCCGGUCACUUAAUGCUGAGAUGUGAUGACGAACCACCAAGGUGGUGAAGCAAUUGAUGCCCCGCUUCCAGGAAAAGCCUCUAAGCUUCAGGUUACCAACAAUCGUACCCCAAACCGACACAGGUGGUCAGGUAGAGAAUACUCAGGCGCUUGAGAGAACUCGGGUGAAGGAACUAGGCAAAAUGGUGCCGUAACUUCGGGAGAAGGCACGCUGGCGGUAGGUAAAGUCCCUUGCGGACGGCGCUGAAGCCAGUCGAAGAUACCAGCUGGCUGCAACUGUUUAUUAAAAACACAGCACUGUGCAAACACGAAAGUGGACGUAUACGGUGUGACGCCUGCCCGGUGCUGGAAGGUUAAUUGAUGGGGUCAGCCGUAAGGCGAAGCUCCUGAUCGAAGCCCCAGUAAACGGCGGCCGUAACUAUAACGGUCCUAAGGUAGCGAAAUUCCUUGUCGGGUAAGUUCCGACCUGCACGAAUGGCGUAAUGAUGGCCAGGCUGUCUCCACCCGAGACUCAGUGAAAUUGAACUCGCUGUGAAGAUGCAGUGUACCCGCGGCAAGACGGAAAGACCCCGUGAACCUUUACUAUAGCUUGACACUGAACAUUGAGCCUUGAUGUGUAGGAUAGGUGGGAGGCUUUGAAGUGUGGACGCCAGUCUGCAUGGAGCCAACCUUGAAAUACCACCCUUUAACGUUUGAUGUUCUAACCUAGGCCCAUAAACUGGGUCGGGGACCGUGUCUGGUGGGUAGUUUGACUGGGGCGGUCUCCUCCUAAAGAGUAACGGAGGAGCACGAAGGUUGGCUAAGCAUGGUCGGACAUCAUGCGGUUAGUGCAAAGGCAUAAGCCAGCUUGACUGCGAGAGUGACGGCUCGAGCAGGUACGAAAGUAGGUCUUAGUGAUCCGGUGGUUCUGAAUGGAAGGGCCAUCGCUCAACGGAUAAAAGGUACUCCGGGGAUAACAGGCUGAUACCGCCCAAGAGUUCAUAUCGACGGCGGUGUUUGGCACCUCGAUGUCGGCUCAUCACAUCCUGGGGCUGAAGUAGGUCCCAAGGGUAUGGCUGUUCGCCAUUUAAAGUGGUACGCGAGCUGGGUUUAGAACGUCGUGAGACAGUUCGGUCCCUAUCUGCCGUGGGCGUUGGAAGAUUGAGAGGGGUUGCUCCUAGUACGAGAGGACCGGAGUGAACGCACCACUGGUGUUCGGGUUGUCAUGCCAAUGGCAUUGCCCGGUAGCUAAGUGCGGAAGAGAUAACCGCUGAAAGCAUCUAAGCGGGAAACUUGCCUCGAGAUGAGUCUUCCCUGUC
rnacentral:rRNA from 1 species